rnacentral:lncRNA from 1 species
CCGCUCUGCAGCAGCUCCCCUUCCCCUUUCCUCCUUUCCGUCGGCGUUGUCAAGAACAAGGGGGGGCUGCCUUCGCCGUUCGCCCUCUUGCCGGCGUGUUUUCGGCGAUCUGGCAUCGGAAACGAGUUCCUCACCCCCGAAAACCCCGGAAGCAACCCUCCUCCGUCGGAAAGUCCUUGCCGGCAGCCUUGGGAAGUGUCGCGUGAGCAGCGACUUUCCGGCCCCGAUCCGCCGCCUUCCGGCCACUUUCCGGCCAAAACUCUUGUACUUCCGGACUCCCCGCAACUUGAGCUUCGCGUAGGCGCUUCCGGAUUUGAAUUCCGACACUGUUGGCAGGACCGGCUUCCGGACCCCGGUGUUUUCUGGACGCGCGAAAUAUUUUAAUUUUUAACUCGGUAUAAUUUUAUUUUAGACUCUAA